GGUUCGGUGGUGUAGUUGGUUAUCACGUCAGUCUAACAUCCAUCCACGCUGAUCUAGAGCCUUGAUGACGAUCAGAGGAGUUCACCGAAGGUCGGGAGUUCGAGCCUCCCUUGAAUCA